rnacentral:tRNA from 1 species
GCGGCAGUGGUGAAAUGGUAGACACGCUACUUUGAGGGGGUAGUGGGCAUUGGCCUGUGUGAGUUCGAGUCUCACCUGCCGCA